rnacentral:misc_RNA from 1 species
CCAAAUUUCAAUUCCCUUAUUCUUCUUCUUCUUCUCUCCAUUUUGUAGAGAAAGGGAUUCUAGAAUCUUCCAUUUCUGCAAUUCUUCUUCGAUCCUCCUUGCUCUCUUUCUCAUGGAUCCUCCUACCUCUUGGGAUUCCUUGCGAAAGCAGGCAAGGAAGCUUGAAGCUCAGCUGGAUGAGCAGAUGCAUUUGUAUCGUAGAUUUGUUUCAAACAAAAGUGGUAACGCUAAUGAUCAUGAUCUUGAAUCUAGUAUAGAUCAGCUGCUCAAGCAACUUCAACAAGUAAAUUCACAAAUGCAAGCAUGGGUUUCAUCGGGAGGAUCUGAGAUCUUCUCUCAUACACUGACUCGCCAUCAAGAAAUUCUUCAAGAUCUUUUUCAGGAGUUUAACCGGAUCCGUUCAAGUUACAGAGCCAAGAAAGAGCAUGCUUCAUUGCUUGAAGAUUUUAGAGAGUUCGACCGGACCAGGUUAGAUCUGGAAGAUGGUAGUGGGUCUCAUGACCAAGCACUCCUUAACGAACGUGCUACUCUCCAUAGGACUACUGGACAGAUGGAUGGUGUGAUUUCUCAAGCUCAAGAAACAAUAAAGACACUUAUGUUUCAAAGAUCAACAUUUGGUGGCAUUAAUUCAAAACUCAGCAAUAUCAGCAGUCGCCUCCCAACGGUUAACCAUAUUCUUUCAGCAAUAAAGAAGAAAAAGUCUAUGGAUACGAUCAUUCUUUCAUUAGUUGCCUCUGUAUGCAUGUUUCUCAUUUUGGUUUACUGGAUGACGAAAUGAGACAGUAAUUAAUUGGACUCCUGAUGGAGCUUUGAGCACCAUCUUUGCUUGUUUGUAUCUUUUUGUAUAUUCACCAGUGAAUUUUGUGACUCUUCAUUUUUA